rnacentral:sRNA from 1 species
GCUGCUUUCAUGCUCCCAUGUGUUCCACAAAAAAGAACCAGUAUCAAACCCGAGUGAUACACGAUGGGGCCCGCCUGUUCAGAAUCAAGUGUGUGACCAGAAUCCAAGCCUACUGGAGAGGAUAUGUUGUUAGAAAGUGGUACAGAAACCUGAGGAAAACAGUACCUCCCACAGAUGCCAAGUUAAGAAAAAAAUUCUUUGAAAAAAAGGUAGGUAAAGAUCAUUAUGUUCUCCAGAUACGGUCUCCGUGCGGGUGAUUCACUUGGGGUCAGGAAGGCUAACAGAGGUGGUAAAACUUUGAGACUUACUUCACUUUGAGGGCUUUUUAAAAAUGGUUGAGAUGCUGCUAAAAAUCCUGUUUAACUUUAGUUGGCUUUCCAACCUAGAUGUUAAAAUACUUCUAGACUUUCUUUUCUAGUUAAAUCAUAAAAUUAGGUUAAAUCAAAGCAACUUCUGUUUGGCCAUUUUGUGCUAAUUGUUUAAAUAAACAUCUCUUA